CCUACGGGAGGCAGCAGUGAGGAAUAUUGGUCAAUGGACGAGAGUCUGAACCAGCCAAGUAGCGUGAAGGAUGACUGCCCUAUGGGUUGUAAACUUCUUUUAUAUGGGAAUAAAACGUUCCACGUGUGGGAUUUUGUAUGUACCAUAUGAAUAAGGAUCGGCUAACUCCGUGCCAGCAGCCGCGGUAAUACGGAGGAUCCGAGCGUUAUCCGGAUUUAUUGGGUUUAAAGGGAGCGUAGGUGGAUUGUUAAGUCAGUUGUGAAAGUUUGCGGCUCAACCGUAAAAUUGCAGUUGAAACUGGCAGUCUUGAGUACAGUAGAGGUGGGCGGAAUUCGUGGUGUAGCGGUGAAAUACUUAGAUAUCACGAAGAACUCCGAUUGCGAAGGCAGUUCACUGGACUGCAACUGACACUGAGGCUCGAAAGUGUGGGUAUCAAACAGGAUUAGAUACCCCUGUAGUC
rnacentral:rRNA from 1 species